rnacentral:rRNA from 1 species
GACGAACGCUGGCGGCGUGCUUAACACAUGCAAGUCGAACGGAAAGGCCCUGCUUUUGUGGGGUGCUCGAGUGGCGAACGGGUGAGUAACACGUGAGUAACCUGCCCUUGACUUUGGGAUAACUUCAGGAAACUGGGGCUAAUACCGGAUAGGAGCUCCUGCUGCAUGGUGGGGGUUGGAAAGUUUCGGCGGUUGGGGAUGGACUCGCGGCUUAUCAGCUUGUUGGUGGGGUAGUGGCUUACCAAGGCUUUGACGGGUAGCCGGCCUGAGAGGGUGACCGGCGACAUUGGGACUGAGAUACGGCCCAGACUCCUAUGGGAGGCAGCAGUGGGGAAUAUUGCACAAUGGGCGGAAGCCUGAUGCAGCAACGCCGCGUGCGGGAUGACGGCCUUCGGGUUGUAAACCGCUUUCGCCUGUGACGAAGCGUGAGUGACGGUAAUGGGUAAAGAAGCACCGGCUAACUACGUG